rnacentral:RNase_P_RNA from 1 species
AGAGCUGGCCGGCUUGUCGCUUGCCCCACACCAGGAGCAAGAGGAAAGUCCGGGCAACAUAGGGCAGCCCACUUCCUAACGGGAAGAUAUCCGCGAGGGUAACAUAACGCAGAAGAAAACAACCGCCUUGGCUUUUAACGGCAAAGGUAAGGGUGAGAAGGCGAGGUAAGAGCUCACCGACCGGACAGUGAUGUCGCGGGGCGUGCGUUACGGGUGUUGAAAGUUCAAGUAAACCGGUGCUUGAGAGCGGCCCGCUCAAACUACCGUGCAUCGGAGGGUAGAACGAUAGAGCCCCGGGGCAACCUCGGGCGUAGAUAAAUGACAGGCAUUCCUCUUAAAGAGGAACACAGAACCCGGCUUACAGGCCAACUCUUUUU